GUUCUGACCCACUGAAGCUAAAAAGAGAAACAAUGACUCUGUAAGACUGAGUGAGACAUAAUAAAUGAUUAAACAUUGUAAGAUUAAUAUUAAAUAAACUUCUAAUAAAAGUAAACACACUGUAAAUAAUUAUUUUAUUC